rnacentral:lncRNA from 1 species
GCACAAGACCUGUCAAGCUGUAGAGUAUGUGGAGCUAUAGGUGGGCUGAAACAAGGAACGAACUAGCACCACGUUAGUUAUAAAAGCGAGCUGAAUAAGCGUUCGACGAUGGUACUGUGCUGUCCUAGGCUAGACCGUGCUAGAGACGCGAGCCUGGACACAAAGGAAAACCACAGCACACCCCCGAAAACAAGGUGGAACAAACCUAAAAUCAAUAUGAAAAACAGCCCCUUUUUUUCUCUUUUGAAUCUUUUCUCUUUUCUUUCUUUUUUUUCUUUUUUUUUGGGCUACCUCAAAAACUGAUUAUAUGAACAAAAGAAUACAAAAGAGCAAUUCGCUACACACACACACUCUCUCUCUCUCUCUAGAGUAAGGCCGAACAAGUAUGGAGUUAUCUUUCUUUUUGGAUCACAGAAGGACUUCGCAACAGAUUUGACAGAGAGAAGAUAUGGUAAUACUCGGCUGUGUAUAGAUGGUGACAAGAACUCAAAACUCUAAAGGACUAGACACUAAGACCAGCAACUCGACACAAACCGAAGCAACGCAAAUUCAACAAGCCCUAACUAAAACGGUACUAGCCAAGGCACAAAGGUUUAAUAGGAUUAUGGAAAAACUAAUCUACUAUAUUUUUUUUGGCUUUUCUGGACUACAGGAAAUUAAUUAAAAACAGCAAAGGAUUAGAAGUCUCUCACCGAAGAACCUUGCUCUGAUUACCAACUGAUGCA